UAAAACGUAGGUGGCGAGCGUUAUCCGGAUUUACUGGGCGUAAAGCGUGUGCAGGCGGGGCUACAAGUGGUGUAUGAAAUCGCUCGGCUAAACCGGGCGGGGUUAUGCCAGACUGUAGCUCUUGAGUGCGAGAGAGGGGCAUGGAAUUCCGGGUGUAGUGGUGAAAUGCGUAGAGAUCCGGAGGAACCCCAGAGGCGAAGGCGGUGCCCUGGCUCGCAACUGACGCUCAGACACGACAGCAUGGGGAGCGAACGGGAUUAGAAACCCCGGUAGUCCAUGCCGUAAACGAUGCAAACUAGGCGCUGACGGUCUCAACCCCGCCGGUGCCGCAGCUAACGCGAUAAGUUUGCCGCCUGGGGAGUACGGCCGCAAGGCUA
rnacentral:rRNA from 1 species